rnacentral:rRNA from 1 species
CCUACGGGUGGCUGCAGUGGGGAAUAUUGCACAAUGGGGGAAACCCUGAUGCAGCGACGCCGCGUGAGUGAAGAAGGAUUUCGGUACGUAAAGCUCUAUCAGCAGGGAAGAAAAUGACGGUACCAGACUAAGAAGCAGCGGCUAAAUACGUGACAGCAGCCGCGGUAAUACGUAGGGGGCAAGGGUUAUCCGGAUUUAGUGGGGGUAAAGGGGGCGUAGGCGGCAGCGCUAGUCUGAAGUGAAAUCCCAUGGGUUAACCUUGGAACUGCCUUGGAAACUGUGCAGCUGGAGUGCAGGAGAGGUAAGCGGAAUGCCCGGUGUAGCGGUGAAAUGCGUAGAUAUUAGGAGGAACACCAGUGGCGAAGGCGGCUUACUGG